UUGUCCAAGAAUCCUCUCUGUAAAAGGCACCAGGAGUUGAAAACAGGAAUUCAAAUAGGCAUAGGUAUCCCUGUGUCCAUAGCAGCAUUGUUCACUAUAGUCAAAAGAUGGACACAACCAAAGUGUCCAUUGACAGAUGAAUGGAUAAACAAAAUGUGACAUAGACAGGUGCUG